GGGUUGUGAGGUUAAGCGACUAAGCGUACACGGUGGAUGCCCUGGCAGUCAGAGGCGAUGAAGGGCGUGCUAAUCUGCGAUAAGCGCCGGUAAGGUGAUAUGAACCGUUAUAACCGGCGAUACCCGAAUGGGGAAACCCAGUGUGACUCGUCACACUAUCAUUAACUGAAUCCAUAGGUUAAUGAGGCGAACCGGGGGAACUGAAACAUCUAAGUACCCCGAGGAAAAGAAAUCAACCGAGAUUCCCCCAGUAGCGGCGAGCGAACGGGGAGGAGCCCAGAGCCUGAAUCAGCAUGUGUGUUAGUGGAAGCGUCUGGAAAGGCGCGCGAUACAGGGUGACAGCCCCGUACACAAAAGCGCAUGUGCUGUGAGCUCGAUGAGUAGGGCGGGACACGUGGUAUCCUGUCUGAAUAUGGGGGGACCAUCCUCCAAGGCUAAAUACUCCUGACUGACCGAUAGUGAACCAGUACCGUGAGGGAAAGGCGAAAAGAACCCCGGCGAGGGGAGUGAAAAAGAACCUGAAACCGUGUACGUACAAGCAGUGGGAGCCCCACCACCAAAGCAUUCUCUGGUGUUGAAGGCCCUGCAAAGCAGCAUCGCGGUGGCGGAGCGUCGUUUGCGACGCCCAACACACAAAACAAGCGGUGAGUGCUUUGGGGUGGGGUGACUGCGUACCUUUUGUAUAAUGGGUCAGCGACUUAUAUUCUGUAGCAAGGUUAACCGAAUAGGGGAGCCGGAGGGAAACCGAGUCUUAAUUGGGCGUUAAGUUGCAGGGUAUAGACCCGAAACCCGGUGAUCUAGCCAUGGGCAGGUUGAAGGUUGGGUAACACUAACUGGAGGACCGAACCGACUAAUGUUGAAAAAUUAGCGGAUGACCUGUGGCUGGGGGUGAAAGGCCAAUCAAACCGGGAGAUAGCUGGUUCUCCCCGAAAGCUAUUUAGGUAGCGCCUCGUGAAUUCAUCUCCGGGGGUAGAGCACUGUUUCGGCUAGGGGGCCAUCCCGGCUUACCAACCCGAUGCAAACUGCGAAUACCGGAGAAUGUUAUCACGGGAGACACACGGCGGGUGCUAACGUCCGUCGUGAAGAGGGAAACAACCCAGACCGCCAGCUAAGGUCCCAAAGUCAUGGUUAAGUGGGAAACGAUGUGGGAAGGCCCAGACAGCCAGGAUGUUGGCUUAGAAGCAGCCAUCAUUUAAAGAAAGCGUAAUAGCUCACUGGUCGAGUCGGCCUGCGCGGAAGAUGUAACGGGGCUAAACCAUGCACCGAAGCUGCGGCAGCGACACUCAGGUGUUGUUGGGUAGGGGAGCGUUCUGUAAGCCUGCGAAGGUGGCCUGUGAGGGUUGCUGGAGGUAUCAGAAGUGCGAAUGCUGACAUAAGUAACGAUAAAGCGGGUGAAAAGCCCGCUCGCCGGAAGACCAAGGGUUCCUGUCCAACGUUAAUCGGGGCAGGGUGAGUCGACCCCUAAGGCGAGGCCGAAAGGCGUAGUCGAUGGGAAACGGGUUAAUAUUCCCGUACUUGGUGUUACUGCGAAGGGGGGACGGAGAAGGCUAUGUUGGCCGGGCGACGGUUGUCCCGGUUUAAGCGUGUAGGUGUGUGUUCCAGGUAAAUCCGGUUCACUUUAACACUGAGGCGUGACGACGAGGCACUACGGUGCUGAAGCAACAAAUGCCCUGCUUCCAGGAAAAGCCUCUAAGCAUCAGGUAACAUCAAAUCGUACCCCAAACCGACACAGGUGGUCAGGUAGAGAAUACCAAGGCGCUUGAGAGAACUCGGGUGAAGGAACUAGGCAAAAUGGUGCCGUAACUUCGGGAGAAGGCACGCUGACACGUAGGUGAAGUGAUUUACUCAUGGAGCUGAAGUCAGUCGAAGAUACCAGCUGGCUGCAACUGUUUAUUAAAAACACAGCACUGUGCAAACACGAAAGUGGACGUAUACGGUGUGACGCCUGCCCGGUGCCGGAAGGUUAAUUGAUGGGGUCAGCGCAAGCGAAGCUCCUGAUCGAAGCCCCGGUAAACGGCGGCCGUAACUAUAACGGUCCUAAGGUAGCGAAAUUCCUUGUCGGGUAAGUUCCGACCUGCACGAAUGGCGUAAUGAUGGCCAGGCUGUCUCCACCCGAGACUCAGUGAAAUUGAACUCGCUGUGAAGAUGCAGUGUACCCGCGGCAAGACGGAAAGACCCCGUGAACCUUUACUAUAGCUUGACACUGAACAUUGAGCCUUGAUGUGUAGGAUAGGUGGGAGGCUUUGAAGUGUGGACGCCAGUCUGCAUGGAGCCGACCUUGAAAUACCACCCUUUAAUGUUUGAUGUUCUAACGUGGACCCGUAAUCCGGGUUGCGGACAGUGUCUGGUGGGUAGUUUGACUGGGGCGGUCUCCUCCUAAAGAGUAACGGAGGAGCACGAAGGUUGGCUAAUCCUGGUCGGACAUCAGGAGGUUAGUGCAAUGGCAUAAGCCAGCUUGACUGCGAGCGUGACGGCGCGAGCAGGUGCGAAAGCAGGUCAUAGUGAUCCGGUGGUUCUGAAUGGAAGGGCCAUCGCUCAACGGAUAAAAGGUACUCCGGGGAUAACAGGCUGAUACCGCCCAAGAGUUCAUAUCGACGGCGGUGUUUGGCACCUCGAUGUCGGCUCAUCACAUCCUGGGGCUGAAGUAGGUCCCAAGGGUAUGGCUGUUCGCCAUUUAAAGUGGUACGCGAGCUGGGUUUAGAACGUCGUGAGACAGUUCGGUCCCUAUCUGCCGUGGGCGCUGGAGAACUGAGGGGGGCUGCUCCUAGUACGAGAGGACCGGAGUGGACGCAUCACUGGUGUUCGGGUUGUCAUGCCAAUGGCACUGCCCGGUAGCUAAAUGCGGAAGAGAUAAGUGCUGAAAGCAUCUAAGCACGAAACUUGCCCCGAGAUGAGUUCUCCCUGAGACUUAGAGUCUCCUGAAGGAACGUUGAAGACGACGACGUUGAUAGGCCGGGUGUGUAAGCGCAGCGAUGCGUUGAGCUAACCGGUACUAAUGAACCGUGAGGCUUAACCUUACAACGCCGAAG
rnacentral:rRNA from 5 species